UACGGAGGGUGCAAGCGUUAUCCGGAUUCACUGGGUUUAAAGGGAGCGUAGGUGGUUUAGUAAGUCAGUGGUGAAAGCCCCGUGCUUAACUUGGGAAUUGCCAUUGAUACUGCUAAUCUUGAGAAUGUUUGAAGUGGACGGAAUAUGGCAUGUAGCGGUGAAAUGCUUAGAUAUGCCAUAGAACACCGAUUGUGAAGACAGUUCACUAAGCCAUAUCUGACACUGAGGCUCGAAAGCGUGGGGAGCGAACAGG
rnacentral:rRNA from 1 species